rnacentral:lncRNA from 1 species
CUGAGCAUUUGAAUCAACACAGCCUGCAGCGUCCUUGCGGAGCCCUGUUUAUGGGGCAAUAAACCAUUUAAACGACUCUGUGUUGGAACCCACAAGGUCGCCUUGAAAGGCUUUUCACAGACACUGCUAGUAGGGCUCCAGGACGUCUGGAGGGCCAGGCUGGGGUGUCUUUUUGGCUUCUGCUUGAAGCUGCCGGUUCCCCUCCAUCAGGAACGCCAGCCCCAGGAGAGGCUGCCAUGAGCCAGUUUCCACGUAAAGAAAUCUAAGCAACUUGCUAGGGAGGCCACAUGGAGACAGUGAAACCCCAGAGGAUGAGAAACCACUUGAAAAAGAGCGAAGGCACCCAGUGGACAGCCAGCACCCGCCGCCGGAUGUGAAUGAGGCUGUCUUGCAUUCCUAAGAUGCUGCAGCUGACAUGAGGUGAAGCAAAGAUGAGUGUCCCAGCUGAGCCUGGCCAAGCUCCUGACUCACGGAAUCCUGAAAAAU